rnacentral:rRNA from 1 species
ACGACGCUGGCGGCGUGCCUAAUACAUGCAAGUCGAACGGUCUUUCUAUGGAAGCUUGCUUCCACAGAGAAGAUAGUGGCGAACGGGUGAGUAACACGUGGGUAACCUGCCCAUAAGAGGGGGAUAACAUCCGGAAACGGGUGCUAAUACCGCAUAGUUUUCUUGAUCGCAUGAUUGAGAAAGGAAAGACGGCCUUCGUGCUGUCGCUUAUGGAUGGACCCGCGGCGUAUUAGUUAGUUGGUGAGGUAAUGGCUCACCAAGACGAUGAUACGUAGCCGACCUGAGAGGGUGAUCGGCCACAUUGGGACUGAGACACGGCCCAAACUCCUACGGGAGGCAGCAGUAGGGAAUCUUCCGCAAUGGACGAAAGUCUGACGGAGCAACGCCGCGUGAGUGAAGAAGGUUUUCGGAAUCGUAAAACUCUGUUGUCAGAGAAGAACAAGUUGGAGAGUAACUGCUCCAGCCUUGACGGUAUCUGACCAGAAAGCCACGGCUAACUACGUGCCAGCAGCUGC